rnacentral:rRNA from 1 species
UAGGGAAUCUUCCACAAUGGGCGCAAGCCUGAUGGAGCAACAGCCGCGUGAGUGAAGAAGGGUUUCGGCUCGUAAAGCUCUGUUGUUAAAGAAGAACACGUAUGAGAGUAACUGUUCAUACGUUGACGGUAUUUAACCAGAAAGUCACGGCUAACUACGUGCCAGCAGCCGCGGUAAUACGUAGGUGGCAAGCGUUAUCCGGAUUUAUUGGGCGUAAAGAGAGUGCAGGCGGUUUUCUAAGUCUGAUGUGAAAGCCUUCGGCUUAACCGGAGAAGUGCAUCGGAAACUGGAUAACUUGAGUGCAGAAGAGGGUAGUGGAACUCCAUGUGUAGCGGUGGAAUGCGUAGAUAUAUGGAAGAACACCAGUGGCGAAGGCGGCUACCUGGUCUGCAACUGACGCUGAGACUCGAAAGCAUGGGUAGCGAACAGGAUUAGAUACCCUGGUAGUCCAUGCCGUAAACGAUGAGUGCUAGGUGUUGGAGGGUUUCCGCCCUUCAGUGCCGGAGCUAACGCAUUAAGCACUCCGCCUGGGGAGUACGACCGCAAGGUUGAAAC